GGGUGAUCUCCCUUGGUUUCCGGAACCUUCUCUCUCACGCGUGUCACCUACGCGCGCGGCGGGCGGCGCGUGCGCGCGGACGAGCUGCCCGGAGCCCGUCGGGCCUGCAGUCUCGCACCUGGCCGAAAGGGGCCGCUCUGCUGGCCCACAUUCUACGUGAAUUUACCUGGACACGCUCAGAGAGAGAAAAUUAUAGUGCUAAGUGAAAGAAGCCAGACUCAAAAGUCUGUAUGAUUUCAUUUAUACGACAUUUUGGAGAAGGCAAAACUACAGCAGCAGAGAAUAGAUGCCAGCGGCUGGAUUGACCACAAAGGGGCUCGAAGAGCAGCAGAGACAGGGAGCUCACUCCCAUCUGGUGGUGCUGGUUCUGGAACUGUAUGCAUUUGUAGAAACUCACACAACCAAAAACCAAAAAGUGGGAAUUUCACUGAGUGUAAUUAUUUUAGUUUUUUAAAUAUGUUAAAACCAGAAAGCAGAUUGGUAGUUGCCAGGGCCUGGGAGAAGGAGGAAUGAAAGUGACUUGAAGAGUAAGGGGUUCAUUUUCCAGUGAUGGAGAUGUUUUAGAACUAGGUAGGCUGCAUGACAUUAUGACUGUACUAAUUGUUCACUGUAAAAUGGCAAACUUUGUUAUGUGAAUUUCACCUAAGAAGACACGUCUAAAAAUUAAAAAAAAAAAAAAAAUGAGCAGGCUCCUUUCUAUUUGAUAAGCUCAUGUCCAGAGGCAGUGGGAAGUGAGAUGUGAAGCAGCUCUUCUAGUCGGCCUCAGUCUCUGUGCAUUUGCCACCUGAGUGUGAGGUACAGCAAGCAGG